UUCUAAAUUUCCAUCCAGUUUGAAUGUAUCACCAAAGUUACUUUCUUUCCAUCCAAUGUGUCAGCUAUCUAUAUUUUAUCAUAUGAUAAUAUGAUUAUAUUUCUUUAUUUGGAUAUAUGAAGAACAAAAGCGGACGUGAACAAGAAAGGCAAGAGAGGAGGCCUUCAUCCAAUCCCAAUAGACUUGAGAAUGCUAUUGCUCUACGUCCUUCCACAAAUACCACUUCCCCUGCAAAUGGAACUAGGGUAGGUUUGAUUAGAGAUGGCUCUGACAUUAGUUUUAAUGCGAGAGGCCCUUUUAAUACUCUUACCCAAAAUACUAGACUACAAUGAGUGCCUUCUCGCCCCUUGUUCACUUGCAAUGAUG
rnacentral:lncRNA from 1 species